rnacentral:rRNA from 1 species
CCUACGGGAGGCAGCAGUGGGGAAUUUUGGACAAUGGGGGCAACCCUGAUCCAGCCAUGCCGCGUGCGGGAAGAAGGCCUUCGGGUUGUAAACCGCUUUUGUCAGGGAAGAAAUCUUCUGGGCUAAUACCCCGGGAGGAUGACGGUACCUGAAGAAUAAGCACCGGCUAACUACGUGCCAGCAGCCGCGGUAAUACGUAGGGUGCAAGCGUUAAUCGGAAUUACUGGGCGUAAAGCGUGCGCAGGCGGUUGUGCAAGACAGGUGUGAAAUCCCCGGGCUUAACCUGGGAACUGCACUUGUGACUGCACAGCUGGAGUACGGCAGAGGGGGAUGGAAUUCCGCGUGUAGCAGUGAAAUGCGUAGAUAUGCGGAGGAACACCGAUGGCGAAGGCAGUCCCCUGGGCCUGUACUGACGCUCAUGCACGAAAGCGUGGGGAGCAAACAGGAUUAGAUACCCUGGUAGUCCACGCCCUAAACGAUGUCAACUGGUUGUUGGGAAGGUUCCUUCUCAGUAACGUAGCUAACGCGUGAAGUUGACCGCCUGGGGAGUACGGCCGCAAGGUGAAACUCAAAGGAAUUGACGG